GAGUUUGAUUAUGGCUCAGAUUGAACGCUGGCGGCAUGCUUUACACAUGCAAGUCGAACGGCAGCACAGGGAGCUUGCUCCUGGGUGGCGAGUGGCGAACGGGUGAGUAAUGUAUCGGAACGUGCCUGGUAGUGGGGGAUAACUACUCGAAAGAGUGGCUAAUACCGCAUGAGAUCUUUGGAUGAAAGCGGGGGACCUUUGGGCCUCGCGCUACUGGAGCGGCCGAUAUCAGAUUAGGUUGUUGGUGGGGUAAAGGCCUACCAAGCCUGCGAUCUGUAGCUGGUCUGAGAGGACGACCAGCCACACUGGGACUGAGACACGGCCCAGACUCCUACGGGAGGCAGCAGUGGGGAAUUUUGGACAAUGGGCGCAAGCCUGAUCCAGCAAUGCCGCGUGCAGGAUGAAGGCCUUCGGGUUGUAAACUGCUUUUGUACAGAACGAAAACUCUCUGGCUAAUAUUCUGGGGAUCAUGACCG
rnacentral:rRNA from 1 species